AAUAACAACGAUGAAAUAUUAAUAAUAAAAAUAAACAUUAUUUAUUUAUUAUUACGUAUAUUGUAUAUUGAAUAUAUAUUCAAUUUUAAAUAUAUUACAUUAUAUGUUACAUAUAAUAUAUCAAAUAUAUUACAUUGAAUACUAUACAUUACAUAGAAUAUAUGUAAUAUAUUAAACAUAUAAAAUAUAUAAUCUAUUAACAUCUAUAUUUAACAUAUAAAUAUAUACUAGAUUGUAUGUGGAUUUAAAAAUUAAUUCUUAACAAAGGGACUCAAAGAAUCCAGGCAAUGGAGUAAAGAAUGUGUCCAGGCUGCAGAAUCCAAGGUUAUUAAAAAAUAAAAGUUACAUCGUUUGCAGUCAAUUCCUGCCUUUGCUCUGGCCGCACCGGUAGAAGCAUUCUGGAAGUGUGCAAACAGACGGGGGGAAACUGAAUCUCGGCGAUACUUCACUAAGGUCUGUGUAGCCCACAGUGCUGUGGGGAGCAUCAAAGGAGACAACAGAGAGGAGGAGAUGCUCCUUCCAGCUCCACACAAAGGCUACCUGUAGGUCUGGGGAAGCCUGCGGGGCCUCGUGCAGCUGGGAACAAUGAGCUUUGUUUGUUUCAGGCCAGGUCAGUUUCAGUGGGAACUGGAAUACCUUCAGUCUGGAAGAUUCCGCUCCUGCUCCACAGGGUCCUUUCCUCCUUAUUUGGAAGUGGUGCAGAAGGCAAGCUGCCUCUGGGGCUGAUCUCUUCUCAGGUCAUAGCCAUCUCAAAUUGCAGAGAUGGUUUUCUAGGAGGAAAAGAUGUAUUGGGAUUGAAGGUAAUGGAAAAACAAAAGAUUUCAAUAAAUAUUUAAAUAUGAGAAAAAAAGUAGAGAUGUCUUGAGAAUGGCUCCUUUGUAUUUCC
rnacentral:lncRNA from 1 species